GGGCAAAUGCAACACUGAAGAGAUGUGAAGACUCAGCUAAAGUUUUUAGGGCCUUUAAUUGGAGGCAGCCACAACACAGUGAUAAUUCUGACUAGUGUUGCAAUGUGACAGCUAGCAUCAUGAGGGAAAAGAGAAAAUAUUGCAGAGAAAAGAUGUUCAGAUCCUCUAGGUCAUAUUCUCAGUCGUUUCUAAACUGUACCCUCCACCUUGCUUUGCUUUCUCUGGUCAGAGAUAUUGUUUAGGCAAUGCAGUGGCUUUAACUCCCCUACGUUGUUAGACAGACACAGGGACACUGGUGGCCGCCUUGACAGAGGUGGAAACGUGAUUUGCAGACCCGAUGUCCUGCCUCGUGUUUGAUCUGCGUGCCUGUGGCUGCCAGGUUGAUAAGCAGAACACAGAUUUGGAGCCUGUCCCAUUCAGGCUCUGAGUGCAGAGACCAAGACAAAAAAAGGGUCUCACUCAAGGGAAGUCUCAGCUCUGUCAGCAAAGGCUAAAGUCUUACUGAAUUUAUCAGAGCCUUAGCUUCACCCUGUUUGUACUUGAGCACCUCCCUGCUCAGGGUUGAUGACUUCAGGCUGGUCCCAGGUGGGAUGUGUGAUUCCCCCCAGGGCCUGGGGCUAAUUAGAGACCUCAGCAGAGGGCACCUCCAGGCCCCUGUAAGGGGAGGAGCUCAGGGGCUGGGUGGGAUGGUAAUGGGGUGCUUAUGGCUGGCCAGGGGUAAUUAUUUGGGUGCAGGCCCCUCCAAGACUACUCAAGGAAAGACUGCAGGGAGGAGCAGCUGGCCUGUGCAGAGACGUUUUGAGGAACGAGCUUUCAGCAGGAUCUGGAAUUCCUAAAGAGAAGCAAAACACAAUCAUGUGACUGAAGACUCAUUUCCAGGAAAAGCGGAAGAGGUUCUAGGAAAGAUCUGCCUUUGUGAUGAGCGCUCCCACAGUAAUCAACCCUGAGGAAAUUCAUGUCUGGACUGAUGAAGCUCAGUUUUAUUCUCGGUUCCCCACUGAGAAUAUUGAAGGCUUUAUUCCACCUGCAUUUUUUUUUUUUCUAAACCCUUCCUAAUUUAAAGGUCAGUGGAUUAGUUCUGGCUGCUUUGCUGUCAACUGUUCCAUGCCCUCUGCACAUGAUCUAGUACUUUUAGGAUCUGAAAACCAAAACCACAUGUGAAAUUUGCCAGGUGGACUUUCUGUUGCUUGGUGUUUUGUGAACAGGGGCACACAGGGUGUGUGUUUAAAUUCUGAGCUGGGUGUACUAAGCCUGGAUUUCAGUGAACCAAGAUGUUGUGCUGACACCAUAGAUAUGGACUGAUCCUUGAUACUGGGUUUUGUUUUUCAAGCUGGAUACAAUACCAGGCCUGUGUUGAGCUAUAUCCAUGCAGCGUGAGUACCUCUGUAUUUUACCUUCUCAUGUUUCCUGUUUUGUGUCCAAAAAUGUCUUGGGAUUGUCAUCUUGCUGAAGGAUACCCAAGGGCUUCUACUGAAUUCAGCCUGUUUUCUCUUUUCCUUAAUGAAUUGUCACAGAAUCGUAUUUUAUUCCCAGAAGGAGAAUCCUUUAAACUCCCCAUGUCAACUGUAGACUGUGCCCUGCAUAGAGCAAAAACUGUCAGGCAGACAGGAGGAGGACUUAGGGUUGUGAAAAUGGGCACUCAACACCAAGGAUCUCAAGAAAACUCGGUGUUCCUACAGAAACAGAGCUAACCUGCUUCCACGCCAAAGCACUGAAGGCUGGCAGGGGCAGAAGCAGCCCAUGUUUGGAUGCAUGAAGACUCCACAUUAUGAAAACCUCCCAAAAACAAUACAAAAAGAAAAAUAAAGUGUUUCAAAAUUUGAGCCCAAAGGAAAAGCAAAUUGACGUCUAACAAAAGACCGAUUUUCUUCUCCCGUAGAGAGGUGUCUGCCACUUACUCGAGCUGGCAAGGCAGUGUCUCAAAGGGCAAUUUAACCACGUUGCAUAAGGCCUUGGCUGGGUGGCUGUAGAAAUAUAGGGCCUCUUAUCUGAAUGCUGGCCACAGCUGUUAGAGAUCUUGAAGGAAUUAUCUCUGUGCCUGUCAAACAUCUGCUUUGUAAGCAAACAAAGAAGCUGAAACACUAGCAGUGCGCACGACCCACUGCAGCUCAUGGGGCAGAGCCAGGAGGCAGCAAACGGGAAACUUUUUCCCUGGCAUCAGAAACCUGAUGUUCCAUGAGUGACUCCGAUGGAUGGAUAGGCCUUCAUUCCUCUGUGUUUUAUAGACCUGUGCCUUGUCAUUGAAAAAUAGCCACUGUGGUCCAAGCACUGAUCUCAGUGUCUUUGGUAAGCUAUAAAUCAUCUACAGCUCUAUGAAUACUCUGGCAUAUAGCCUACAGAACUACAUUUAUUUUCUCUCUUACCACCCAGGAAUUGUUUCAUAUAAAUGUGGGUAGACCCAAAAGGUCUGAUGCUAAAAAUCGGGAUAUGCAUUGGACGCCUUGACAUUAAAUAUCUUCUUCCCUUCCUGUCUUCCCUCCCUUAGCCAUCACUGCAUUUUUCCUCCAAAAUACAUUCACAGUGUUUUGUCUUUGAACCAAGCUAGCUGCUUUCCCGUAGCUGUGAUAGUUUCUCCAUUACCAACACCCCCCCCCCCCCCCCCCCCCCAACACAUAGUAAAUACCCUUUGAGAGCCUGGCCACAGAGAGUGUGGGAUUCUUGUAUGCUAUGUAACCAGAAUACUCUGUAUUCUUUUGUGUGUUUUUUAUAUUAACACCAGUCCCAUAAAAACCUUCAAUAACUGCAUUGUUGUGUCUCCUUGCACGCAUGCAUGUGGGUCCAGAUCUGGUCCAAGUGCAAUGUGAACAUUCAGUCUCCUGAAAUAUAGAUGUUGUGGGAGAAUCUAGCCCAGCUAUGAGGACCAGCAACUGUGUGAGGAUACUGAUUUUGUAUUUUGUCCAUUCAAGACUUUCCUCCUUUGUUCUCUGUCAAAAAAGCACUUGCACUGUAGAGGAGGAUGGUGACAGUAUG